GACGAACGCUGGCGGCGUGCUUAACACAUGCAAGUCGAACGGUGAAGCGCCUUCCUUUUUGGUGGGUGUGGAUGAGUGGCGAACGGGUGAGUAACACGUGAGUAACCUGCCCCCUUCUUCUGGAUAACCGCAUGAAAGUGUGGCUAAUACGGGAUAUUCUGGGUCUGUCGCAUGAUGGGUCUGGGAAAGAUAUUGUUUCGGUGGGGGAUGGGCUCGCGGCCUAUCAGCUUGUUGGUGGGGUGAUGGCCUACCAAGGCGGUGACGGGUAGCCGGCCUGAGAGGGUGGACGGUCACACUGGGACUGAGACACGGCCCAGACUCCUACGGGAGGCAGCAGUGGGGAAUAUUGCACAAUGGGCGCAAGCCUGAUGCAGCGACGCCGCGUGAGGGAUGGAGGCCUUCGGGUUGUGAACCUCUCGCCAGUGAAGCAGGCCUGCCUCGUUUGUGGGUGGGUUGACGGUAGCUGGAUAAGAAGCGCCGGCUAACUACGUG
rnacentral:rRNA from 1 species